CCCUUAGAUGUUCUGGGCCGCACGCGUGCUACACUGAGUAAUUCAAUGGGUAAGGGAACGCUAGAGCAUUACCUAAUCUUGAAAUUUGCUCGUGAUGGGGAUCGACGGUUGCAAUUUUCCGUCGUGAACGAGGAAUACCUUGUAGGCGCAUGUCAUCAUCAUGCGGCGAAUACGUCCCUGCCCUUUGUACACACCGCCCGUCGCUCCUACCGAUUGAGUGAUCCGGUGAGGCUCUGGGACCUGGACGGAAAGAGCGUUUCGCUUGUUCUGUUUGGGAAACUUGGUCGAACCUUAUCAUUUAGAGGAAGGAGAAGUCGUAACA
rnacentral:rRNA from 1 species